AACGCACAUUGCGCCCCUUGGUAUUCCGAGGGGCAUGCCUGUUCGAGCGUCAUUAUAACCACUCAAGCUUCAGCUUGGUAUUGGGGUUCGCGGUUCCGCGGCCUUUAAAAUCAGUGGCAGUGCCAUCUGGCUCUAAGCGUAGUAAUUCUCUCGCUAUAGGGUUCCGGUGGUUGCUUGCCAAAACCCCCCCACUUCUAUGGUUGACCUCGGAUCAGGUAGGGAUACCCGCUGAACUUAA
rnacentral:misc_RNA from 1 species